rnacentral:lncRNA from 1 species
GUGCCAGCACCGGGUAAACGAGGAUGCAAGCGUUAUCCGAAUAUUGGGCGUAAAGGUCUGUAGUGGCUUUUAAGUCCGCCGUCAAUCCAGGCUCAACUCUGGACAGGGUGAAACUACCAAGCUGAGUACGGUAGGCAGAGAAUUCCGGUGGAGCGUGAAAUGCGCAGAAUCGGAAAGAACACCAACGGCGAAAGCACUCUGCUGGCCGACACUGACACUGAGAGACGAAAGCUAGGGAGCGAAUGGAUUAGAUACCCCAUAGUCUAGCCGUAACGAUGGAUACUAGGCCUGUGCGAUCGACCCGUGCAGUGCUGUAGCUAACGCGUAAGUAUCCGCCUGGGAGUACGUUCGCAAGAAUGAAACUCAAAGGAAUGACGGGGGCCCGCACAACGUGGACAUUGGUUUAAUUCGAUGCAAAGCAAGAACCUUACCAGGCUUGACAUGCGCGAAUCUCUUGAAAGAGAGGUGCCUUCGGAACGCGACAAGUGUGCAUGCUGUCGUCACUCGUGCCGUAAGGUGUUGGUUAAGUCCGCAACGAGCGCACCCUCGGUUAUCCCAUCAUGAUUGAACCCUGACAGACUGCCGUGAUAACCGAGAAGUAGUACGUCAAUCAUCAUGCCCUUAUGCCUGGGCACACACGUCUACAAUGCCGGGACAAAGGUCGCGAUCCGCGAGGUGAGCUAACUCCAAAAACCCGUCCUCAUUCGGAUGCAGCUGCAACUCGCUGCAUGAAGCCGGAAUCGUAGUAAUCGCCGGCACCAACGCGUGAAUCCGUUCCCGGCCUUACACACCGCCGUCACACUAGGACUGGCCAUGCCCGAAUCGUUACCUACCGCAAGAGGGAUCCGAACCAGGCUAGUGACUGUAGAAUCUAACAAGUACCGUACUGGAAGGUGCGCUGAUCACCUCCUUU